rnacentral:rRNA from 1 species
AAUUCCCGUUGAUCCUGCGGGAGGUCGCUGCUAUCGGGAUUCGAAUUAGACAUGCAAGUCAAAAUCUCUUAGGAGGUUGGCGAAAGGCUCAGUAACACGUCGAUAAUCUGCCCUAUGGUCUGGAAUAACCUCGGGAAACUGAGGGUAAUACCGGAUAGAAGAUUGAUACUGGAAGGUUCUUUCUUUGAAAGAUUACGCCAUAGGAUGAGUCGGCGGCUGAUUAGGCUGUUGGUGAGGUAACGGCUCACCAAACCGAUGAUCAGUAGGGGGUAUGAGAGUACUGUCCUCGAGAAGGGCACUGAGACAAGGGCCCUAGCCCUAAGGGGUGCAGCAGUCACGAAAACUUUACAAUGCGCGAAAGCGCGAUAGGGGAAUCCCGAGUGCUUACUUUAUAGUAGGCUUUUGUCAAGUGUAAGGAGCUUGACGAAUAAGUGGUGGGUAAUACUGGUGCCAGCCGCCGCGGUAACACCAGAGCCACAAGUGGGGACCAUUUUUAUUGGGUCUAAAGCGUCCGUAGUCGGUUCAUUAGGUCUUUUGUGAAAUUGUUGAGCUUAACUCAGCAGCGUGCAAAAGAAACCAGUGAACUUGGGACCGGGAGACGAUAAGAGUAUGCCGAGGGGAGCGGUAAAAUGUUUUAAUCCUCGGUGGACUACCGAUAGCGAAGGCACUUAUCGAGAACGGGUCCGACGAUCAGGGACGAAGGCCAGGGGAGCAAAACGGAUUAGAUACCCGUGUAGUCCUGGCAGUAAACGCUGUCCAUUAUAUGUUGCGCAUCCUACAAGGGUGUGCAGUGUCGUAGCGAAGGCGUUAAAUGGACCACCUGGGUAGUACGGUCGCAAGACUGAAACUUUAAGGAAUUGGCGGGGGAGCACUACAAUCGGUGACGCGUGCGGUUUAAUUUAACUACACACAGAAAAUCUCACCAGGGGCGACGGCAGGAUGAAGGUCAGAUUAAAGGUCUUACCUGACGAGCCGAGAGAUGUUGCAUGGCCGCCGUCAGCUCGUGCCGCAAGGUGUCCGGUUAAGUCCGGCAACGAGCAAGACCUGUACCUUUAUUUGCUAACAAGUCCUCCGGGAUGAUUGAGUACAAUAACGGGACUGCCUUGGUAACAAGGAGGAAGGUGCAGGCAACGGUAGGUCUGUAUGACUCGAAUCUCCUGGGCUACACGCGCGCGGCAAUGGCUAGUACAAUGGGAUGCAACACCGAGAGGUGAAGCUAAUCCUCGAAAGCUAGUCUUAGUUCAGAUUGAGGGUUGUAACUCACCCUCAUGACGCUGGAAUCGAUAGUAAUCGCUUGUCAUUAGCGAGCGGUGAAUACGUCCCUGUUCCUUGCACACACUGCCCGUCAAAUCAACCGAGCAGGGCCUGAGUGAGGGUUGCAUUACGGUGCGAUUCGAACUUAGGUUCAGUGAGGUGGGUUAAGUCGUCACAAGGUAUCCGUAGGGGAACCUGCGGAUGGAUCACCUCCUA